GUGCCAGCCGCCGCGGUAACACGUAGGGGGCGAGCGUUGUUCGGAAUCAUUGGGCGUAAAGGGCGUGCAGGCGGUCGUGCAAGUCCGGCGUGAAAGACCCCGGCCCAACCGGGGGGACGCGCUGGAAACUGCAGGGCUUGAGUACAGGAGGGGAUGCCGGAAUUCCAGGUGUAGGGGUGAAAUCUGUAGAUAUCUGGAAGAACACCAAUGGCGAAGGCAGGCAUCUGGCCAUGUACUGACGCUGAGACGCGAAGGUGCGGGGAGCAAACAGG
rnacentral:rRNA from 1 species